CAGCAGAGCGGCGCGGCGCUGAUCAACACGUGCCGCUGGCGAACUGGCAAGUCUUUCGGCCGCACAUUUCCACGUGCCUUCUUUACGUUUGCGAGAAUUAUUAUUUUGAGUGUAAGAAACUCCAGAACGACUUUAAAACACUAUUACAAACGAUAUGAAUGAAAAUUCCCAAAAACAAGUUUUAUUUGUGGAUACUAAAAUUGUACAGAAUGAUUCAGAAUUCUGUGAAUCAAGGUCUAAAUGCAUCAAAAGUAAUAAACCUUUAAGCCAUGCUGCGGGUAGUGAUCAUCUAAUUUCCCCCUCCAAAGAAAUUAACUGCAAGGUGGAAGCUCUUCUUCAUUCUGUAAAGGAGCAACGACGAAGAGGCAUGGCCACCCGCAUAUCACAGCAAGGGACUACUCUCAGACCUAUAAAGGCUGAGGAAAUCCCACAGUACCUUGCAGUUUAUUGUAUGCACUCAUGGUUGUGACAACAGAUUAAGAAGAACUGUGAUCAUCUACGUGCACUCCUCCCAAAAAUAAACAGAACUAGGAUUGAUACCGCAUCUUUACUUGAAAUUACUGUUGAUUACAUGAGGUUCAUUCAAGAAAAUGUUCCAAAAGAAGUUUUGUCACAGGUUGCCAAAUUAAUCCAAGAAUAUGGAGAAGGAAGGUGGUGGAAACCAUUGGAAAGUUCUAACAAAAGGAUAAAGCCAAAAUCCAAAAUGCAGAACUCAACAGUUCAAGGGACUACAGCUUCAGAACAGAUGCACUCCCCAGUAGCAGAUUACUGGGUCCCAAUUGUGCAGCAAAUAUGCACUCAUCCUUCUUCACAAGGAUAUCCUGCUUUACAGCCCAGUACCCCCAUUGUACCAUCCGUAGCAUUUCCAGAGACCUCAUUUUACCCCUCGCCAGUUAUGCUCCAUGGCCUUUCAGAGUAUUCUAGUCCAAAAUUAUUUCAUUUUCCUAGACCCUAUAACCCCAUGCAGACAUAUGGAACUUCUGGUAGUAUUUCUUCAGGUCGAAAUAAUUCAUUCUCUAUACUUCAAGGACAAGGCCAUUACAUGCCUCAGCUCGCUCUCCAGCCAAACCCUUGUGUACUGCCAAAUUCUGAUGUCACCUCUGCAGGAUUUUUUUACGAUCACCCAAGUUUAAAUGCACAAGAUCAUCCGUUAAGAAAGAACUUACCAAUGUCUCUACCAUGUAAUGUCAGAAUGUCAAUUGAUUCUUGCACACCUCUGCCUGAGGAACACAAAAGCAUGACAAUGGCAACUACUUCUAAAGUGCUACAGUAUUGGAACGGAAUGCCUUAACAAGGUAGAGUAACAUUCUUCAUAUUAGUACUGUUCAUAAUUGUAGUAAAUAAAAUAAAACAAUGCAACAUAUGAUAUUACAUCC